rnacentral:rRNA from 1 species
UACGUAGGGUGCGAGCGUUGUCCGGAAUUAUUGGGCGUAAAGGGCUCGUAGGCGGUUUGUCGCGUCGGGAGUGAAAUCCACUGGCUUAACUGGUGGCUUGCUUUCGAUACGGGCAGACUGGAGGUAUGCAGGGGAGAACGGAAUUCCUGGUGUAGCGGUGAAAUGCGCAGAUAUCGGGAAGAACACCAAUGGCGAAAGCAGCUCUCUGGGACGGUACUGACGCUGAGACGCGAAAGCGUGGGGAGCGAACAGG